AUUGAACGCUGGCGGCAUGCCUAACACAUGCAAGUCGAGCGGAUGAAGUGAGCUUGCUCCUGGAUUCAGCGGCGGACGGGUGAGUAAUGCCUAGGAAUCUGCCUGGUAGUGGGGGAUAACGUCCUGAAACGGGCGCUAAUACCGCAUACUUCCUGAGGGAGAAAGUGGGGGAUCUUCGGACCUCACGCUAUCAGAUGAGCCUAGGUCGGAUUAGCUAGUUGGUGGGGUAAAGGCCUACCAAGGCGACGAUCCGUAACUGGUCUGAGAGGAUGAUCAGUCACACUGGAACUGAGACACGGUCCAGAAUACUACGGGAGGCAGCAGUGGGGAAUAUUGGACAAUGGGCGAAAGCCUGAUCCAGCCAUGCCGCGUGUGUGAAGAAGGUCUUCGGAUUGUAAAGCACUUUAAGUUGGGAGGAAGGGCAGUAAGUUAAUACCUUGCUGUUUUGACGUUACCAACAGAAUAAGCACCGGCUAACUUCGUG
rnacentral:rRNA from 1 species